rnacentral:lncRNA from 1 species
AUUUUUCGAAAUAACUUAAAUAAAUAAUAAGUCUGAAAUCUCCAUUUAUUACUUAUCAAAAGACAACUCCAAAGUCGUAAAUCCAAUAAAUGACCAUAAAUCCAAAUAAUAUAAUAAAUCCCGAAAAUAUCGAUAAAAUCAUCAAAACCGCAAGUCUGAAAAUGAAAGCAAUAAACUCCCAAAGCACCAAUCCGAUAGCAAUCACUCCUGCUCGUCAGUCUCACCUGAAAGGGGGAAAGAAGGAGGGAUGAGCAACAUGGGAGUCACCCAGUGAAGUAUGGAAUGCUAAACCGCAAACCACUGACUCGGUACAUAGCACUACGACUAUGUAGGCAUUGCUCUAGCAUGAGCAAACAAGAUGCCUAACGCAUCACACAAAACAAACAAUGCGCUGAUGGUACAUAGCUAGUCCACAUACCCCGCAUUCU